rnacentral:lncRNA from 1 species
GGGUAGGCAAACGUAGGUUGGGUAGGCAAAAUUUAGGAAUAAGUAUUUCGUGGGAUGUUGGAAUGUGCGUGUGAAUGUCUCUUUCUAGAUUAUCGUGUUUAAUUUAGAUGUAUUUAUUUAGCCAGGGAAUGCCCCGAGAUCACUUGUAUUUAUUCACCGGGGAAUGCCCCGACGUAUCAUGUUGGCGAAAAAUGAUCGUGAUAAAGGCCCGCGGCGUCGGGU